AUGUACAUUCCUACAAUUUUAAUGCAAUAUUUCCCAUUAGAACUCUGCAGCUAAGUGUGCUUGGGCUAGAGUAGUACUGGGAUGGGUGACCUCCCAGAAGUCCUAGUGUUUUACAUG
rnacentral:rRNA from 1 species